AAAUAUACACAAACUCAUAAUUGGUAAACAUUACGUUCUUUUAGGUCUUUGCUUCAAGACAGCACAGACCUAUCCCAUGUAGCAUCAUAUAUCGGGUAUAUAUUUAUACAAUAUUGGCAGAGCAUUUUCAUGUUGGGUCAAUAUUCUCAAUUAUUAGCCAAUAUUACUCCAAUAUUAGAAUAGCUUUUUUGGCCAAUAUUGAUGUAUCUAUACAAAUACAAUAUUGGCAAAAUAUUUUUAAUUUCCAGUAUUGCUUGAAAAUUAACAUGCAAUAUUGUAUAGCAAUACUAUGCCAAUUAAACGUUUUCGAUAUAAUUAAUAAUCAUAGAAUAUUCUCUUAGUAGAUAAUAAUUAUUAAUAAUAUCUUACGGUCUGAUUUAUAAUCAAAGUUAAAGUGUUUAUUUCUUAAAGUGUUAGAGAAAAAUAGAAACAAAAAACCGGUUGCAAAUCUAGUUGCGUACUAUAUUGAAAACUGCUUGUCGGAUAAACUUUAGCAAUCGAACUCGGCUACUAUUAUUUUAGGUUAGCGUUGUGUACUUAUUUGUACCUACAUAAAUAGUAAAUAGUUACAUACUUCGAUGUUUUGUGCCUGAUUUUGUGCAAUGAUCUGUAACUCAACAUGUCGUCAAGAUCGAAAAAAUCGAUGUAUAUAAAAAGGCAACUUGAGAAAGAAGUUAUUACUUUAACUCCAGCUAUUGCUAAAAGGCAACCCAAUUUUCGCAAUUGUGAAAACACUAAUUCUGAAAGCUUUGGGUUAGAACUUCAGAGUGAUGAAGCUUCUAAUGAUGCCUUAUAUGUUAACCGCCCUAGAUAUCAGAAAAUAUCGGAUUUUCCCUGGCUAGUGCUGAAGAUAGAUAGGGUGGAAGAAAGUCCAGGCCGGAACCGAUAUCAGUACAAAAAUAAGAUGUGCGUGUGAUAAAAAAUGUUUGUUAUUCAAUUAAUAUAUGUGGGUAUUGUUCAAUUAA